GAACAUACAGCGCGCGGGACAAACCAUGGUCACAUAGGUGGUUUUCCCAGAUAGAGGCUCUGGAUGUGCUGACCUUCAAGAUUUACCCAAACUGGAGAAACUCAACUGCAUAAUUUGUGGGGUUCUGUGUUUGUGCUCCCUUUAA
rnacentral:snRNA from 1 species